GCGGGCAUAGCUCAGUGGUAGAGCCACAGCCUUCCAAGCUGUGGGUCACGGGUUCGAUCCCCGUUGCCCGCUCCA
rnacentral:tRNA from 1 species